rnacentral:rRNA from 1 species
AUGGAUGGCCUGCACAGCGCGGACGACUGCUUCUCUCCCAGGAGGGCCAUAGGCAGCCACUACAUGUCGGAGCUGUUGCAGGAGCACCAGAAGCUUGUCCUGUUCACACAGGUACUACCAAUCUGCAUCAAACUGUUGGGCCACCGUGAGAGCCUCGAUUCGCUCCCUCGCCGCCGCCCGGUCUACCAUUAUUGGCCUAGGUCUGAUUGCUUAUGUUUCUCUCUUGUUGAUGCAAACUUGCUCUGCUUGACUCUGUUUUGGCCUCAAGGCAUCUCACUUGUCACAUAUUGUUAUCAACUCAGGUAUGGUAUCUGGAAAAAUUUUAUUCUACCAAGAGAACAUUUCUUACUUUGGUUUCUAGGCAAUAUGAAAGUAAUGAGUAAACAUAACCCGCUGAAACAAAAACAUGGUGAAGUAGCUGACUGUAGAUUUUGCUUGGAGAUGAUACUGUUCACUGUCCAUAUUUUGUUUGUAUGGUGGCUGUACUUUGUAACGCUAGCAUGGAUGUCUGUUAUAAAAUAUACAGUAUCUAGAUUUUUGCUGGGUAAAGAAAUUUGCAGCUCUGAAUACUUUAUAUUUCCCAGUUGUUCUUAA